rnacentral:snRNA from 1 species
AUGCCUUAAACUAAUGAGUAAGGAAAAUAAUGAGACUAGGGGAUCCUAGGCUCCUGGUAAACUACCAGAGGAAUUUCUGAAGGGGUACAGGUCGCCCCUCGGUGACCCUCCUACUUUGAGGGAUGCUUGAGGUGUAGUGAUCUACCCC